GAUGAACGCUAGCGGCAGGCCUAAUACAUGCAAGUCGAGGGGCAGCGCGGUAGCAAUACUGGCGGCGACCGGCGCACGGGUGCGUAACACGUAUGCAACCUACCUUCAACUGGAGGAUAGCCCGGGGAAACUCGGAUUAAUACUCCAUAACACAGGGAUCCCGCAUGGGAAUAUUGUUAAAGCUACGGCGGUUGAAGAUGGGCAUGCGUUCGAUUAGCUAGUUGGUGUAGGUAACGGCUCACCAAGGCUACGAUCGAUAGGGGGUCUGAGAGGAUGAUCCCCCACACUGGUACUGAGAUACGGACCAGACUCCUACGGGAGCAGCAGUAGGGAAUAUUGGUCAAUGGGCGCAAGCCUGAACCAGCCAUGCCGCGUGCAGGAAGAAGGCCCUCUGGGUUGUAAACUGCUUUUGAUAGGGAACAAAUGCCACUUGCGAGUGGAGCUGAGUGUACCUAUAGAAUAAGCACCGGCUAACUCCGUGCCAGCAGCCG
rnacentral:rRNA from 1 species